UACGUAGGGGGCAAGCGUUGUCCGGAUUUAUUGGGCGUAAAGAGCUCGUAGGCGGCCUGUCGCGUCGGUUGUGAAAGCCCGGGGCUUAACCCCGGGUCUGCAGUCGAUACGGGCAGGCUAGAGUUCGGUAGGGGAGAUCGGAAUUCCUGGUGUAGCGGUGAAAUGCGCAGAUAUCAGGAGGAACACCGGUGGCGAAGGCGGAUCUCUGGGCCGAUACUGACGCUGAGGAGCGAAAGCGUGGGGAGCGAACAGG
rnacentral:rRNA from 1 species